GCCCCCACCAUCAGUUUCAAAAGGAAUCACUUGAAGGCCUGAAAGGCAGGCGGAAAAAAGAAUCCUCUUUUUGCAACCCAGAACUCAGUGUUCACUAUUAGUUCUGAUUCAUAUAAGAAGGAAUACA
rnacentral:snoRNA from 1 species